UCUGGAAAAAAAAUCGGCAAUCCAACCAAGCGAGCGCACGACAAAUGAAUAUUACCCCCCGAUAUGCACACAAUGUCCCUAUAUUCAAUAUCCAUAGUCAAUAACAGGAGAUCGUCCGCGCUGUGGUCGUCAAUUGUCGCGAGUUCCGUUGUAGGUGGUAAUAAUAACCGUGUAUCGUAACCGUGAUAAAUAAGUUUUUUCCGGUCGUGCAGUGUGUGUAUGUACACAUCAAUAUACAUGCAUACAUGUGUACAUAGGUGUGCACGUGUGGCACCGCUCCAGACGAAGCGUGAGGAGGCGAGACGAGGCAGGACUGAGCACAAGCGACAGAGUUGUGACGGAUUGUGCUGGAUCUGGUGUGCGUAGCCAGUGCGAAAGAAAAUAGACUAUCUGCCGCGUGCGUGCACUAACGGGGAAAGGCCAACGGCCGGGUGGUGCUCGCAUAUGUCUAGACUCGCGAGUACCCAAAUCCUGGCUACAACACAGGUGAAGAGGGCGGCCGCCGCUACCACCGCCGCCACCGCCGCCACCGCCGCUGCUGCCGCCGAUCUCACGGCGGUGGUGGAUUACUCUACUUCUGCUAAGCGUAUCAAGCUGAUCACGACCACAGACAUCGCGCAACUGACUACCGACGAAACCGAGGCAGACGGCACCGGCGGGAAGGUCGACAUCGUCAUCAUGACGGACACGGCGGCUGCCGCCGCGACCGACACGCAGAAGAGGGCGAAUUUCUCCGCGUUAGCCGUUGGCAACCCCAACGGCGUCAACAAGAUCUCGCCGAACCUGGCGAACGCGAAACCCGGCUCCGCGAAAAAGCUCGUCAUUAAAAACUUCAAAAAUAAACCAAAAUUACCAGAGAACUAUCAAGAACAGACAUGGGAAAAAUUACAGGAGGCUGUGGUUGCCAUACAAACCAGCAAAAGCAUUCGCUAUUCCUUAGAGGAACUUUACCAAGCAGUUGAAAAUAUGUGUAACCACAAAAUGGCAUCAACACUUUAUACAAAUUUAACCAUUCUGACAGAAUCUCAUGUGAAAGCCAAUAUUGAACAGUUUUUGGCAGAAUCAAUGGACAGACAUAUAUUCUUGAAAAAGAUGAAUGAAUGUUGGCAAUCACACUGUAGACAAAUGAUUAUGAUCAGGAGUAUUUUUCUGUAUCUUGACAGAACAUAUGUUCUACAAAAUCCAAGCAUUUCAUCGAUAUGGGAUAUGGGAUUACAUCUCUUCCGACUACAUAUUGUGCUGAACAAUUUAGUACAAACACGCACGGUGGAAGGUCUUCUUAUGCUUAUUGAAAAGGAACGACAAGGUGAUACUGUGGAUCGAACACUUCUCAAGUCUCUGUUAAGAAUGUUAUCAGAUCUACAGAUUUACCAAGAGGCCUUUGAAACAAAGUUCCUAGUAGCUACAGAAAGAUUGUAUGCUGCUGAGGGUCAGCGAUUAAUGAAUGAGCAUGAUGUUCCUGAGUAUUUGGCUCAUGUGGAUAAACGUCUCCAGGAAGAAAACGAACGACUGUUACAUUAUCUUGAUACAUCAACUAAAUGGUCGCUCAUACACACGGUAGAAAAACAAUUAUUGUCUGAACAUAUUACUAGCAUUUUACAAAAAGGUUUAAGCGGUUUGUUAGAUGAGAAUAGGAUUAGUGACUUGUCAUUACUUUACAACCUAUACAGUCGAAUAAAGAAUGGCCUUGUGGAGCUUUGUUUGAACUUCAACAGUUACAUUAAGAAAAAAGGCAAGACAAUAGUUAUAGAUCCAGAAAAAGAUAAAACGAUGGUACAGGAGCUGUUAGAUUUCAAAGAUAAAAUGGAUAACAUAGUCAAUACAUGCUUUCAUAAAAAUGAAAAGUUUGCAAACAGCUUAAAAGAAGCUUUUGAGGCUUUUAUUAAUCAGAGAGCGAACAAACCAGCAGAAUUAAUAGCUAAAUUUGUGGACUGCAAGUUACGCGCGGGUAAUAAAGAAGCAACAGAAGAGGAACUGGAAAGAUUGCUAGAUAAAAUUAUGGUACUUUUCCGAUUUAUACACGGAAAGGAUGUUUUUGAAGCUUUCUACAAAAAGGACCUAGCCAAACGUCUGUUGGUAGGGAAAUCUGCUUCUGUAGAUGCUGAAAAAUCGAUGCUAUCUAAAUUAAAGCAGGAAUGCGGUGGUGGUUUUACUAGUAAGUUGGAAGGGAUGUUCAAAGAUAUGGAACUUAGCAAAGAUAUUAAUAUUGCGUUCAAACAGUAUGCAGGGAAUUUGCAGAGCGAAUUAAUAGCAAGUAACUUAGAUUUGACUGUGUCUAUACUUACCAUGGGAUACUGGCCUACAUAUCCUGUAAUGGAAGUCACCUUACCAAUGGAGAUGGUGCAGUAUCAAGAUGUGUUUAAUAAGUUUUACUUAGGAAAACAUAGCGGUAGGAAAUUGCAGUGGCAGCCGACUUUAGGACAUUGCGUGUUAAAAGCAUGGUUCAACCAGGGUAAUAAAGAACUGCAGGUGUCGCUAUUUCAAGCGCUGGUCUUAAUUCUGUUCAACGACAGCGAUAAUCUCUCAUUAGAGGAUAUCAAAGCUGCCACAAAUAUCGAAGAUGGCGAGCUAAGAAGAACAUUGCAGUCUCUAGCAUGCGGGAAAGCUCGUGUUCUGCAAAAAAAUCCGCGUGGACGAGAUGUCGCUGACAAUGAUAGAUUCGUAUUCAACGCGGAAUUUACAAAUAAGCUGUUCAGAAUCAAGAUCAAUCAAAUUCAAAUGAAAGAAACGAAUGAAGAACAAAAAGCAACGGAAGAGAGAGUAUAUCAGGACAGACAGUAUCAGAUUGACGCUGCUAUUGUCAGAAUUAUGAAAAUGAGAAAAACACUGACACACAAUCUUCUCAUUAGUGAACUGUAUAAUCAAUUAAAGUUUCCAGUUAAGCCUGCAGAUUUGAAGAAACGAAUUGAGUCUCUCAUUGAUAGAGAUUACAUGGAGCGAGAUAAGGACAAUGCGAACCAAUACAAUUACGUUGCGUAACCUGAAGCAAAUGCCAAAGUCACGUUGAAUCAAAUCGACGCUGAUUUUUUUAGCAAAUUGAAUCAAUCGCCAUCGAUGUUUGUUGUGAAUGUAACGGGUUGCAGCUCGAACAGCAGACUCGUGGACUGGAUCUGACUGUUUGGCAUAACCGUUAAAAUAUGUGGACAGUGCAUAAAGAAAAAGAAGAAAAAGAAAAAAAGAAAAAAAGGAACUACAGUGAACUUCCUCUUCUUAAUUUUCUUAGUGCAUUAUGGACACUGAACGAUUGCAAUCCUCUUCAUAUGGUGUGUUGUGUUAUUAUCGAAUUUCGAUAACGGAAGGAAAGAAGCAAGAAAGAGAGAGAGAAGCCACAUGAGCCAGACUAUCCACAUGGAAUAUCCUUGAUAAUACGACGUCCUAGGAUAUAACGAUUUUUUAUGCGACGCAGUUUUUCACAGCAUACUUACAGUUAAGAGGAUGUAAUAGAGGCAGAAUGUAGAAUAACACUGACACUACAAUGAAAAAUAGAAUAUAAGAGUGCAAUUGCAAUAUAAAUUAGUUAAUUUGAAGUGAACAACGCGCGUGCGCGAUGCAGUAUUUAUAAUGAACAUAAAAGAGACAUACUACAUCUAUGCAAUAUAUUGGUGAUUCGAACCAGCAAAAAAGAAUCGAGGCUACUACAUUACUUACGAGACGACGAUUCACUAAUUUGAUAAAGAAGAGCUAUACAUUUCUUGUAAAUGCUGUGUAAAACGUAAAAGUUAAAUUCAGCAACACACGAACGUAAUAUUUGGGUAAAAGUAAAUAAUGCAACCAUU
rnacentral:misc_RNA from 1 species